rnacentral:tRNA from 1 species
UGGCCGGUAGCUCAGUUGGUUAGAGCGUCGUGCUAAUAACGCAAAUGUCGUGGGUUCGAUCCCCAUACUGGCCAA